rnacentral:rRNA from 1 species
GGGCUCACACAAGCGGUGGAGCAUGUGGCUUAAUUCGAAGCAACGCGAAGAACCUUAUCCUGGGUUUGACAUGUAUGGAUUAGCUGCCCGAAAGGGUAGUAACGCGGCUUGCCGUGGAACAUACACAGGUGCUGCAUGGCUGUCGUCAGCUCGUGCUGUGAAGUGUCGGGUUAAGUCCCUUAACGAGCGCAACCCCUGUCGUUAGUUGCUAACAGGUAAUGCUGAGGACUCUAGCGAGACUGCCGGUGUCAAACCGGAGGAAGGUGGGGAUGACGUCAAGUCCGCAUGGCCUUUAUGCCCAGGGCUGCACACGUGCUACAAUGGCUGGUACAGAACGACGCAAUACCGCGAGGUGAGCAAA